rnacentral:rRNA from 1 species
GUCCUUUUGAUUUUUWUAUAAGGUUUGACCUGCCCAAUGAUUAAUUUUAAAUGGCCGCGGUAUUUUGACCGUGCAAAGGUAGCAUAAUCAUUAGUUUUUUAAUUGAAAGCUGGAAUGAAAGGUCGAAUAAGAGAGAUACUGUCUCUUAAAAAUUUAAAUUAGAACUUUAUUUUUAAGUUAAAAAGCUUAAAUGUUAUUUAAAGACGAGAAGACCCUUUAGAGUUUUAUAUAAUAGUUUUUAUUUUUUUUUUUAGUAUUAAUUAAUUAAGAUAAGAAUUUUAUAUUUGAUUGGGGKGAUUGAAAAAUUUAAAAAACUUUUUUUUUUAUAUUACAUUUAUUUAUGAAUUUUUGAUCCAGAGGUUUUGAUUAUAAGAAUAAAUUACCUAAGGGAUAACAGCGUUAUUUUUUUUGAGAGUUCAAAUCGAAAAAAAAGAUUGCGACCUCGAUGUUGGAUUAAAAUUAAAUUAUGGUGCAGAAGCU